CAAAAACUACUGGGCUGUUCAGGACUAAUAGUGUUUUAAAGGAAAAGACGACAGAUGUCGCAGCAUGGCAUAAGCUCACCAGUAGCUAAAAGGCAAUAAAAAUCAAGAAAUUACACUUCCAUCAUUUCACCUUGGUAUAACGAAGGACAUGUAUUUCAAACCACAAGUACAAGAUCACAUUUUUAUAUAAAAUUUGUUCUCAUGUUUUAAAAGGAAUUCACCUAUCAAUUUUGAAAAUUAUUUGUUUGAAAUUGUUUACUUUUAUCCAAACAAAACAACAAUUUGAAAAUUGGCAGUAACAUUGUGCACUAAUUAACACUUUGUGGCAUAAUUGGGGAAAACACAAGUCAUCAGUCAAUCUGUAGAAAGUAUUAAUUCACAACAAUUGUUUCCCAAGGUGGUAGUAAUUUGCUGCAAUCUUGUACAAGGUUUAGCCAAAAAACACUUCAUAACAAACUAUAUGUUAAACGCUUGGCAAUUACCAUAACAAACUAUAUGUUAAACGCUUGGCAAUUACUAUGUAUAUCAUGCCAUAAGUUGUGCAUUUGGAGGAAAAUCAGGGGAGGUAACUCUGAAAAUCAAAUAAUAAAAGAAAUUUUUUUUUUCUGGUGUAAAAACAACAAAAGUAGUGACAGAUUUUAUUGUCUAAGCCAUACUACAAUUGAAUUAAGAAUACAAUCUGCUAAUUGGUAUCAUUCAUAUAUCAAACAAGUAUACAAAAUAUACAUAUUUAUUUUUAAUACCAUAAAUAGCAAAUAAAUAUACUUCCUCAGGUUUCCACAAACUGGCCAGAAAGGUAUUAUGAACUGUAAAUGAACUGUGAAGAAUUUAAUUAUAUUUAAGACAUCUAUAAUUAAUCUUUAAUGAAAAACUGACAGCAUAUAAAUUCAAAAGCUGGACUUACAAUUGUAUGUUUUAUUGCAUGACAUUGGGCUUGGACCCUAUUAAAGACAAAUUAACAUGAUACCUAGUUUACAUGACAUUGGGCUUGGACCCUAUUAAAGACAAAUUAACUUGAUACCUAGUAUACAUGACAUUGGGCUUGGACACUAUUAAAGACAAAUUAACAUGAUACCUAGUUUACAUGACAUUGGGCUUGGACCCUAUUAAAGACAAAUUAACAUGAUACCUAGUAUACAUGAACAUUUUAAGACAAUGCUGUGAAAUCACAUUUUCAAUAUUUGCCUUAAUGACUCAUUAUGGUACCCAGGUUUACAAACACUGGCUACUGGGACAGACCAACGAAAUGUUAACACUUGUUACUAUUCAUAAACGAAAAUGGCAAACUCUAAAAAAUUGGAAAAUCAAUUGUGACAGAAAUGAGACAAUUUAUUGGAAAUCUUCACACAUGGAAAAUUCAGUUAAGGAAAAUCUUAAAAUGACACCAAACAGGUGAGAAUUCUUAAGGUGGGUAACAAAGUUCUAUCUUCAAUAUGAUUCAAAGACUACGAUAAAAUGUCUGCUAAAACCGUUGAUCACAUCAGACAAUGCUGUAUACUGAUUACAGUACAAUGUAUAGAAAGUCAUACAUUGGUCUGAUAUAAAUUCACAACAUCAUGAACAAUCACAAUGAACCAUAAAAGGUAACACAAAUUUGAUCUU